rnacentral:tRNA from 1 species
GCCUGGGUGGCUCAGUCGGUUGAGUGUCUGACUUCAGCUCAAGUCAUGAUCUCACGGAUUGUGAGUUCAAGCCCCACAUCAGGCU